AAAUAUGCAAACAAAAUAGAAGAAACAAAUGUAUAUAGGAUAUUGAUAUUAUAUUAUAUAUUCCUAGGUUAGAUUCAUUAUCUAAUCCGAUAUAUGGAUAUAGAAUUCCCUUCUAUGUAGUUCGGACAAUUCACAUUUCAAUUUGAUUUCAAUUUGUACUUUUUAGUUACUUUACUUCUCCCCAAUAGAGCUUAGAAGUAAGAAUUUUUUGGUUGAUUGUAUCCUUAACCAUUUCUUUUUUUUUGACACGAGGAACUACUCACCAUGAAUCCACUAAUUGCUGCUGCUUCUGUUAUUGCUGCUGGAUUGGCCGUAGGGCUUGCUUCUAUUGGACCUGGAGUUGGUCAAGGUACUGCUGCAGGACAAGCUGUAGAAGGUAUUGCGAGACAGCCAGAAGCAGAAGGUAAAAUACGAGGUACUUUAUUGCUUAGUCUAGCUUUUAUGGAAGCUUUAACAAUUUAUGGACUAGUUGUGGCACUAGCGCUUUUAUUUGCGAACCCUUUUGUUUAAUCCUAAAAAAAAAAGUUCUUUCGAUUUCGAUUAGAUACUUUUUUCUUUUUUUAGUAAAUUGGUAUUUGCUUCCGCAAUUCCAAUUAUAUCAAUACUUUAUUUAAUUUACUCCUAUUUAUUACUCCUGGAAUUAUCUAUUUAUCGGGACAGAUAAUACCGCAUUCUAGGAAGGGCUGAGUUGAGUAUGAUUAAUUUAGAAGAUAUGCUCGCCUUCUUAUUUCCCGUCCUUAGUUUAGGAAAGUGGAAAGUUUUUUCCUUUUAUUUUAGGAAUUUUGGGAACGGAACAUUUCAACAAAGGAAGCCUUUCACCGGUCAAACAAGACCUAAGACUUAAUCUAAAAGAAAUUACUAGAUUGAAUCUAUUUGCAUUAAAAAAACCGAUCAAAAAAGGGCGAGCGAAGUAAGUGAUCGAAAAACUUUGUUCUUUGUUCGUCCUAUCUAUAAGAGGAGAGCAUAUGAAAAAUGUAACCCAUUCUUUCGUUUUUUUAGCUCACUGGCCAUCCGCUGGCAGUUUCGGGCUUAAUACCGAUAUUUUAGCAACAAAUCUAAUAAAUCUAACUGUAGUGGUUGGUGUUUUGAUUUUUUUUGGAAAGGGAGUGUGUGCGAGUUGUCUAUUUCAAGAAUAGAUUGGAUCUAUCCGGCUGCACUUUAGAAUAUUUUUUAGUAUUUUUCGGAUAAAUAAGAAAAGGGUGCACGAUCUCGACGAAUUACUUCUGAAUAAAUUCAGAAAUCAUAUGGAAGAACCAUAGCAUUUCGCGACUCAUUGGUAAAUCAAUUUUGAUUCUCUAUAAACCAAGAAUGUGAGACCAUUAACACGGUUAAAGCUAAACUGCUUGAAGUCCAGGCAAAAAGAGGUACUCUUUCUACAACUAUAUUAGUAUUAGUACCGAAUUUAAACGGGAAAUAGCUAAUGUAAAAUUUAUCUGAUAUAGAACACUCAUAUCGAUAAAAUGGUUUGAACUAUUUACUAGAAAAAAAAAGAAGGGGCACCCUGCCCUUUUUUAACCAAUGCCGAAUCGACGACCUAUGUAUAAAAAAGAGAAAUUUUUUGGAUUUGAAGAAAAAAAAAAAAGAAUUCUAUUAAUUUUCAUUUUCCAUUUAUUUAGUUAGUUUUUCUUAAUGAAAUUGAAAUUAUUAACUAAAGGGCAAAUAUAAAUAAAGAAACAACUUUGCUGACCAUGAUAUAUUUUUAUCUAGGCGGAAGAGUCCUCUUAAUAUUUAUCUAGUCUUAUAUAGGUUUCGGUAUAUUGAAAUAUAAACAUAAAAAAUAAGAUAGAGGAUAGGCUCAUUACUUAUACUUAAAAAAAGAUAUGGAAAUUGCUAUAGCAAAAAAAGAAAAAAAGGAGCGUGAGAGCCAAAUGAAUCGAAAGAUUCAUGUUUGGUUCGGGAAGAGAUCAUAAAAGUUGUAAACUUACAAAAUAAUCUACUUUCAUUAAAAGAUUUAUUAGAUAAUCGAAAACAGAGGAUCUUGAGUACUAUUCGAAAUUCAGAAGAAUUGCGUAGAGGGACCAUUGAGCAACUCGAAAAAGCUCGGAUUCGAUUACAGAAAGUCGAACUAGAAGCGGAUGAGUAUCGAAUGAAUGGAUACUCUGAGAUAGAACGAGAAAAAGCAAAUUUGAUUAAUGCUACUUCUAUUAGUUUGGAACAAUUAGAAAAGUCUAAAAACGAAACCCUUUAUUUUGAAAAACAAAGGGCAAUGAAUCAGGUCCGACAGCGGGUUUUCCAACAGGCCGUACAAGGAGCUCUAGGAACUCUGAAUAGUUGUUUGAAUACCGAGUUACAUUUCCGUACGAUUCGUGCUAAUAUUGGCAUUCUCGGGUCCCUGGAAUGGAAGAGAUAAUUAAAUUAAUUAGGCCUUGAACUUCUACUUUCGUUUAGAAUUUAGGCAUUAUUUUUCCCCUUGCUUUCGAAAAAAGAGUCAAGAAACACUAAUGGCAACCCUUCGAGUCGACGAAAUUCAUAAAAUUCUCCGCGAACGUAUUGAACAAUAUAAUAGGAAAGUAGGGAUUGAGAAUAUAGGUCGCGUAGUUCAAGUGGGGGAUGGGAUUGCUCGUAUUAUAGGUCUUGGUGAAAUAAUGUCGGGUGAAUUAGUCCAAUUUGCAGAAGGUACUAGGGGUAUUGCUCUGAAUUUGGAAUCCAAAAAUGUUGGGAUUGUAUUAAUGGGCGAUGGGUUGAUGAUACAAGAGGGCAGUUUUGUAAAAGCAACAGGAAGAAUUGCUCAGAUACCCGUGAGUGAGGCUUACUUGGGUCGUGUUGUAAAUGCUCUGGCUAAACCUAUUGAUGGGAAAGGCGAAAUUAUAGCUUCCGAAUCUCGCUUAAUUGAAUCUCCUGCUCCAAGUAUAAUUUCCAGGCGUUCCGUAUACGAACCUCUUCAAACAGGGCUUAUUGCUAUCGAUUCGAUGAUUCCUAUAGGGCGCGGUCAGCGAGAGUUAAUUAUUGGGGACAGACAGACUGGCAAAACAGCAGUAGCUACAGAUACAAUUCUCAAUCAAAAAGGGCAAGGUGUAAUAUGUGUUUAUGUAGCUAUCGGUCAAAGAGCAUCCUCCGUAGCUCAAGUAGUAACUACUUUCCAUGAGGAGGGGGCCAUGGAAUACACUAUUGUAGUAGCUGAAAUGGCGGAUUCACCUGCUACAUUACAAUACCUCGCUCCUUAUACGGGAGCAGCCCUGGCUGAGUAUUUUAUGUACCGCGAACGGCAUACUUUAAUAAUUUAUGAUGAUCUCUCCAAACAGGCACAAGCUUAUCGCCAAAUGUCCCUUCUAUUAAGAAGACCUCCCGGCCGUGAGGCUUAUCCAGGGGAUGUUUUUUAUUUGCAUUCACGCCUUUUAGAAAGAGCCGCUAAAUUAAAUUCUCUUUUAGGCGAAGGAAGUAUGACCGCUUUACCAUAGUUGAGACUCAAUCUGGAGACGUUUCCGCCUAUAUUCCUACUAAUGUAAUCUCCAUUACAGAUGGACAAAUAUUCUUAUCGGCGGAUCUAUUCAAUGCCGGAAUUCGACCCGCUAUUAAUGUGGGUAUUUCUGUUUCCAGAGUAGGAUCCGCGGCUCAAAUUAAAGCCAUGAAACAAGUAGCUGGCAAAUCAAAAUUGGAACUAGCUCAAUUCGCAGAGUUACAAGCCUUUGCACAAUUCGCCUCUGCUCUCGAUAAAACAAGUCAGAAUCAAUUGGCAAGGGGUCGACGAUUAAGGGAAUUGCUUAAACAAUCCCAGGCAAAUCCUCUCCCAGUGGAAGAGCAGAUAGCUACUAUUUAUACCGGAACAAGAGGAUAUCUUGAUUCGUUAGAAAUCGAACAGGUAAAUAAAUUUCUGGAUGAGUUACGUAAACACCUAAAAGAUACUAAACCUCAAUUCCAAGAAAUUAUAUCUUCUAGCAAGACAUUCACCGAGCAAGCGGAAAUCCUUUUGAAGGAAGCUAUUCAGGAACAGCUGGAACGGUUUUCCCUUCAGUAACAAAUAAAUUUGGCAUAUCUACUCUUGUUAUUUUGCAUGUCUACUCUUGUUAUUUGAAUCAUGCAAAAAAGUUUUCUUUGUUUUUAGUUUAGUAUAGUUAUUUAAAGAAUAGAUAGAAAUAAGAUUGCGUCCAAUAGGAUUUGAACCUAUACCAAAGGUUUAGAAGACCUCUGUCCUAUCCAUUAGACAAUGGACGCUUUUCUUUCGUAUUUUAUUCUUUCUUUUAUUCUUUCUUUUAUUUGUUGUCUUCUUCCGAGAAAAAAACUGUUAGACCAAAACUCUUUUAGGAAAUCAAAAAAUCAGAUACAAAUGGAUGAUGUAUAUCAUGCAUAUAUCAUUAAAGAAGGAGUAUGGGGCCGGUAGUGGGAAUCGAACCCGCAACCCCAAGGUUAUGAGACUUAUGAGCUACCAAACUGCUCUAUACUCUUAAACUAAAGAGGGGUAACUAGUGGAUAAAAGAGGGUUCGAUACGUCCCUCUACCAUAUCUAUACAAAUAGAAUAGUCCAUUUAUACAGAAUGGUAAAGAGGGCUCCUCUAUGAUUAUCAAUUCCAGAAAUCCAUACAAAUACGAAAGGGUAUUUUAUCCUUACCAACUGGAUCUUGUUGCACCCGGUAAUAAACAUUCAUAAACCAUUUCUCGAAGUACGUGUCCGGAUAGCCCAAAAUGUCGAUAGUUAGCUCUAGGUCUUCCGGUCAAAAAACAACGUCGAUGAAGGCGUGUAGGUGCACUAUUACGCGGUAGGGAUUGCAAUUUUUUCUCGCAUUUUCGUUUUUUUCACUCAAACUCAAGGGAGAAACUUUGCUUCUUAUCUUUUUUUUUAAAGAUUGACGAAUCAAAUGAUAUUUCUGUUCUAAUUUCUGCCGCUUCUUCUCCCUCUGAAUCAAACUCUUUUUUGCCAUAAUGUGCCGUUGCUAUUAUUAUCAAGUAUACGGUUCUAAUCCUAGAUGGAAAAAUAAAUAGAAAAAGAAAUUUAAGAAGGCGGAUCCUCCCUCUCUAUCAAGAGUAAUGAACUAGGUGCUGAUACAGUACAAAAAAACAAACUAAAUUAACCAAACUUGCCUGAUGUUGAGGCAAUCAAGAAAGCUGCAUAAGUGAAUAUAUAACCCACGGAAAAGUGAGCUAAUCCAACCAAUCUUGCUUGCACAAUGGAAAGAGCCACAGGCUUAUCUCUCCAGCGAAUUAAAUUAGCUAAAGGUGUGCGUUCAUGAGCCCAUGCUAAAGUCUCAAUUAAUUCCUGCCAAUACCCCCGCCAAGAAAUUAAGAACAUAAAUCCAGUAGCCCAAACAAGAUGUCCAAAUAAGAACAUCCAAGCCCAUACCGAUAAACUAUUCAUCCCAAAAGGAUUAUAUCCAUUGAUAAGUUGUGAAGAGUUUAACCAUAGGUAAUCUCUUAACCAUCCCAUCAAAUAAGUGGAGGAUUCAUUAAAUUGUGAAACGUUGCCCUGCCAUAAUGUGAUAUGUUUCCAAUGCCAAUAAAAAGUAACCCACCCAAUGGUAUUUAACAUCCAGAAAACUGCCAAAUAAAAUGCGUCCCAAGCAGAAAUAUCACAAGUACCGCCGCGCCCUGGGCCGUCACAAGGAAAACUAUACCCAAAAUCCUUUUUAUCCGGCAUUAAUUUGGAACCGCGUGCGUCUAAAGCGCCCUUUACUAAAAUCAAUGUAGUUGUAUGCAAACCUAGAGCAAUAGCAUGAUGAACCAAGAAAUCCCCAGGUCCUAUUGUUAAGAAAAGCGAAUUACUAUUCUCAUUAACAGCAUUCAACCAUCCGGGCAACCAUAGGCUUCGACCCGCAUUGAAAGCGGGGCCAUUCGUUGAAGAUAAGAGUAUAUCGAACCCAUAUGUCGUCUUGCCAUGAGCAGAUUGUAUCCAUUGGGCAAAUAUAGGUUCGAUCAAGAUUUGCUUUUCUGGAGUACCAAAAGCAAGCAUGACGUCGUUAUGAACAUAAAGGCCCAAGGUAUGGAAUCCUAGAAAGAGGCUAGCCCAACUUAAAUGAGAUAUGAUAGCUUCUUUAUGGUCUAACAUUCUUGCCAAUACAUUAUCCUCAUUCUGUUCCGGAUUGUAAUCCCUAAUG